UAGAAAAACUAUAUAAAUAUGAUGAAGUUAUAAGGAUGCCAAUGUAUUUAUCAGACUUAAUACUCCAUCAGAUCGAGCGGGGAUGGACAUAGCUCUCUUCUCUCCGUCUUCUCUCUUCGCCGACCCUGACGACUCUUCCUCUGAGGAGCAGCAUGAGUCCGAGACUCCACAGAGCUACGCGGAGAGGACGCACCGGUUUCCCGGAAUGGAUUUGGUCAUCCGGGAGUUUUCAUUCCACCAGCUGAAUGCUAAUCUUUUGUGGCCGGGGACGUUCGCAUUUGCUGAAUGGUUAGUUCAGCACCGGACAUGGAUUGAAGGACGGCGCAUCAUUGAGCUUGGCAGUGGAACUGGAGCUCUGGCCAUCUUUCUGCAAAAAUCUUUUAGUCUUGACAUCACCACAUCAGACUACGAUGACCUGGAGAUUGAAGAGAAUAUAGCGCGUAACUGCAAGAUUAACGGAAUUACACCUGUCCUUCCUCAUAUCAAACAUUCAUGGGGAGACACCUUUCCCGUUGGUGAGCCACAUUGGGACCUGGUCAUUGCUAGUGACAUUUUGUUAUAUGUGAAGCAGUACCAGAAACUGAUAACGACUCUCUGCUUUCUCCUGAAAAAUUAUAAGCCAAGAACUGACAGGGCUGAUGUCAUGGAGACCAGUCAGAAAGCAGGAUCUAACGUUGGGUUUCCACGGCCAGCAUUUCUUAUGAGUUGGCGACGCAGAAUUGGAAAAGAAGAUGAGUCUCUCUUCUUCAAUGGUUGUGAGGAUGCUGGACUAGAAGUGGAGCAUAUUGGCUCCAGGGUAUACUGUAUCAAACCUAGAGACUAGAGAAUUGAGAUAAACUGAGGUGGAUGGUUAAUACUUGAUAGAUAUGUAUCGACAAGCGACACGAUCAACGUGACUAGGAAAAGGGCCUGCUUUCGGGCACUAUUUAAUAUAACAGGAGGUAAAAGAUAACUACGCAGCUGAAUCUGGAGGAUGAAUCACAGGUUAGUCUCUACUGAGAAAAGGUUUUGGCAUUUUUAACUCUGUCGGCUCUCCGAUUUUUUAGCUUGACUAUAACCCCCUUUAAUAGGUGCAAUGGGCAUUUCGUCUGGUUACGGUCUUUACAUAAUGCGGAAGUAAUUUCCCAGCAUGAUAGCUAUUGUGAAUAUCAUACUUUCAUUCUGGGAAACAAAAACUUCUUUCACAUUUACAGAAGAUAGACAUGUCUAAUGGCUCACUUUGGACACCUUUGAAUGCCUUACUUCCACAUUGAGAUCUAAAGUUGGAACCCUCGACCUCUUUUCUUCUAGCUGGAGAUGAAGUCUAGACAAUAGCCCUUUUCAGCUUGAAUGACAGAUUCAUCUAAUAGUAACUCGAAUCCGGCCUAUGAAUGUAGAAUGAUAUUCAUCCUAGUCUUUAUACAGAUAAACCAGUUAGAACCCUACUGUGUUCAAAGAUCCAUUCAUUCAUUCAGUUACUUAUCAUUUCUUGUCACUUGUCAGUCUGGUUCAGUUCCACUUGUAA